UACAGAGGGGGCAAGCGUUAUUCGGAAUUAUUGGGCGUAAAGGGCGCGUAGGCGGCUUUGCAAGUGACGGGUGAAAUCCCUCGGCUUAACCGAGGAACUGCCUGUCAAACUGCAUGGCUUGAGACCGGGAGAGGUGAGUGGAAUUCCCAGUGAAGCGGUGAAAUGCGUAGAUAUUGGGAGGAACACCAGUGGCGAAGGCGGCUCACUGGACCGGUACUGACGCUGAUGCGCGAAAGCGUGGGGAGCAAACAGG
rnacentral:rRNA from 1 species